rnacentral:rRNA from 1 species
AGAGUUUGAUUCUGGCUCAGGACGAACGCUGGCGGCGUGCUUAACACAUGCAAGUCGAACGGAGUUAUGUUUUCGGAUAUAACUUAGUGGCGAACGGGUGAGUAACGCGUGAGGAACCUGCCUUUCAGUGGGGGACAACAGUUGGAAACGACUGCUAAUACCGCAUAAUACUACCGAGUGGCAUCACUUGAUAGUCAAAGAUUUAUUGCUGAAAGAUGGCCUCGCGUCUGAUUAGCUAGUUGGUGGGGUAACGGCCCACCAAGGCGACGAUCAGUAGCCGGACUGAGAGGUUGACCGGCCACAUUGGGACUGAGAUACGGCCCAGACUCCUACGGGAGGCAGCAGUGGGGAAUAUUGGGCAAUGGGCGAAAGCCUGACCCAGCAACGCCGCGUGAAGGAAGAAGGCCUUCGGGUUGUAAACUUCUUUUACCAGGGACGAACACAAUGACGGUACCUGGAGAAAAAGCAACGGCUAACUACGUGCCAGCAGCCGCGGUAAUACGUAGGUUGCAAGCGUUGUCCGGAUUUACUGGGUGUAAAGGGCGUGUAGGCGGAGAUGCCAGUUGGGAGUGAAAUCCCGGGGCUCAACCCCGGAACUGCUUUCAAAACUGCAUCCCUUGAGUAUCGGAGAGGCAAGCGGAAUUCCUAGUGUAGCGGUGAAAUGCGUAGAUAUUAGGAGGAACACCAGUGGCGAAGGCGGCUUGCUGGACGACAACUGACGCUGAGGCGCGAAAGCGUGGGGAGCAAACAGGAUUAGAUACCCUGGUAGUCCACGCUGUAAACGAUGAAUACUAGGUGUGGGACGACUGACCCCUUCCGUGCGCCAGUUAACACAAUAAGUAUUCCACCUGGGGGGUACGACCGCAAGGUUGAAACUCAAAGGAAUUGACGGGGGCCCGCACAAGCAGUGGAUUAUGUGGUUUAAUUCGACGCAACGCGAAGAACCUUACCAGGGUUUGACAUCCAACUAACUAAGUAGAGAUACAUUAGGUGCCCUUCGGGGAAAGUUGAGACAGGUGGUGCAUGGUUGUCGUCAGCUCGUGUCGUGAGAUGUUGGGUUAAGUCCCGCAACGAGCGCAACCCCUAUUGUUAGUUGCUACGCAAGAGCACUCUAGCGAGACUGCCGUUGACAAAACGGAGGAAGGCGGGGACGACGUCAAAUCAUCAUGCCCCUUAUAUCCUGGGCUACACACGUAAUACAAUGGCCGUCAACAGAGGGAAGCAAAACCGCGAGGUAGAGCAAAUCCCCAAAAACGGUCUCAGUUCGGAUUGCAGGCUGCAACUCGCCUGCAUGAAGCUGGAAUUGCUAGUAAUCGCGGAUCAGCAUGCCGCGGUGAAUACAUUCCCGGGCCUUGUACUCACCGCCCGUCA